UCCGGUUGAUCCUGGCGGAGGUCACUGCUAUCAGUAUUCGACUAAGCCAUGCGAGUCAAAUGUUCUUCGUGAACAUGGCGUACUGCUCAGUAACACGUGGAUAAUCUGCCCUAAGGUCAGGCAUAACACCGGGAAACUGGUGAUAAUUCCUGAUAUACCAUAGAUACUGGAAUGUUCUGUGGUCAAAAGCUUUAGCGCCUUAGGAUGAAUCUGCGGCCUAUCAGGUUGUAGUGGGUGUAGUGUACCUACUAGCCGACGACGGGUACGGGUUGUGAGAGCAAGAGCCCGGAGAUGGAUUCUGAGACAUGAAUCCAGGCCCUACGGGGCGCAGCAGGCGCGAAAACUUUACACUGCGGGAAACCGCGAUAAGGGGAUACUGAGUGCCAGCACCAUGUGUUGGCUGUCCGCAUGUCUAAAACGCAUGUGUUAGCAAGGGCCGGGCAAGACCGGUGCCAGCCGCCGCGGUAACACCGGCGGCCCGAGUGGUGGCCACUAUUAUUGGGUCUAAAGGGUCCGUAGCCGGUUUGAUCAGUCUUCCGGGAAAUCUGACAGCUCAACUGUUAGGCUUCCGGGGGAUACUGUCAGACUUGGGACCGGGAGAGGUAAGAGGUACUACAGGGGUAGGAGUGAAAUCUUGUAAUCCUUGUGGGACCACCAGUGGCGAAAGGCGUCUUACCAGAACGGGUCCGACGGUGAGGGACGAAAGCUGGGGGCACGAAACCGGGAUUAGAUACCCGGGUAGUCCCAGCCGUAAACGAUGCUCGCUAGGUGUCUGGGACGGUGCGACCGUUUCAGGUGCCGCAGGAAGCCGUGAAGCGAGCCACCUGGAAGUACGGCCGCAAGGCUGAAACUUAAAGGAAUUGGCGGGGGGAACAAC
rnacentral:rRNA from 1 species